AUUGAACGCUGGCGGCAGGCUUAACACAUGCAAGUCGAGCGAGCGGCGGACGGGUGAGUAAUGUCUGGGAAACUGCCUGAUCGAGGGGGAUAACUACUGGAAACGGUAGCUAAUACCGCAUACCAUCAGAUGUGCCCAGCUGGGAUUAGGUAGUAGGGGGGGUAAUGGCUCACCUAGGCGACGAUCCCUAGCUGGUCUGAGAGGAUGACCAGCCACACUGGAACUGAGACACGGUCCAGACUCCUACGGGAGGCAGCAGUGGGGAAUAUUGGACAAUGGACGCAAGCCGGACGCAGCAAUGCCGCGUGUGUGAAGAAGGCCUUCGGGUUGUAAAGCACUUUCAGCGAGGAGGCGUUACUCACAGAGGAAGCAACGGCUAACUCCGUGCCAGCAGCCGCGGUAAUUC
rnacentral:rRNA from 1 species